rnacentral:tRNA from 1 species
GGUCUUAUAUUCAUAACAUGAUACUAGAAUGCAAUUCUAGAGGUGUAAAUUAAUACUAAGACUU